rnacentral:rRNA from 1 species
UACGUAGGGUGCGAGCGUUGUCCGGAAUUAUUGGGCGUAAAGAGCUCGUAGGCGGCUUGUCGCGUCGGAUGUGAAAGCCCGGGGCUUAACCCCGGGUCUGCAUUCGAUACGGGCAGGCUAGAGUUCGGUAGGGGAGAUCGGAAUUCCUGGUGUAGCGGUGAAAUGCGCAGAUAUCAGGAGGAACACCGGUGGCGAAGACGGAUCUCUGGGCCGAUACUGACGCUGAGGAGCGAAAGCGUGGGGAGCGAACAGG